rnacentral:sRNA from 1 species
AUAUUAUAUAUAUUUUUAUAUAUAUAAAUAUUAAAUUUACUACUAACACUAAAAGCUAACCAAUCAGGUUUACAAAUAUUUUCGAUAUUUUAAAUAGCCUUUUUAAAUGCGUCAGUUUUAAAGCACUUUUACCCGAUAAAAAUAAAAAUACAAAAAUAUUUCCUGACAUUUCCGCAGUACCUAUUUAAAUACGAAAUUUUACUAUUAAAAUAUGUGCUGUAAUUUUUCAACUCAGGCUCAGCUUUGGCACGUAAUGCAGGAUACAUAGGCACAGAAUCACCUGAGAAACCGACGAUAAUAUGGACGGACCGACGCUUAGAUCGACUCGGCUAUCGAUCCUGAAAACGCUUUCUUUACAUGGAACAUACUUUUUUUCAUAGAAAUUUACAAUACUAAUAAAAUGUUGAAAAAAUA